UACGAAGGGUGCGAGCGUUGUUCGGAAUUACUGGGCGUAAAGGGUUCGUAGGCGGGAAGACAAGUUGGAUGUGAAAACUCCGGGCUCAACUCGGAACGUGCAUCCAAAACUGUUUUUCUUGAGUGUCGGAGAGGGGAGUGGAAUUGCUGGUGUAGGAGUGACAUCCGUAGAGAUCAGCAGGAACACCGGAGGCGAAAGCGACUCCCUGGCCGAACACUGACGCUGAGGAACGAAAGCGUGGGGAGCAAACAGG
rnacentral:rRNA from 1 species